GGGCGAGGCCCUGGCGGUGCCUAACGCAACAGGUUUCCCGAGGCCGCCUUUUUUCUUGCUAAACCCUUGGCCUACCAUCCGGAAGCCUGAGGCGUCCUGCGGGAAAGGACUGGAUUGCCGCCAUAUUUUUCACCCAGGAAGGGUGGAAAGAAAACUAAGCUGCUUUGGUAAUAGUUUCCGGGAAUUCGGGAAUCAAGAAUAAAGCACUUCGACCUAAAAAUAGAGAUCCAGAGUCCAGGUAGGGGGUCACCGUGGGCCAGCACCCCUCAGGGUUAGUUUUAUCCUGGGGCACUGCAGGCUGUCAGGACUGCCUGGGCCCUUACUUGGUAUUUGGCAUUAGUCAGGCAUUAUUGGGAACAAUAUUUGAGUUUUUCUUGCUUGAAUGCCUGCUGCUGGAUCGUCUCGGGGCCGUCUUGUUUUCACAAUCUCAAAGGUUUCGCUUCUGCACUCCCAGCCCCUAAGGAGACAGAAUACAUGCCUUAAAGAAACGAAGGAACUGAAUGUUCGUUUUUCUGCCAGUGCGACAAUAUCGAGACUAAAAUUUGGCUACAAAAGACAUCUUACUCCUAACUGUUGAAAGCAGAACUUUCCCGUCCACAGAACUAUCAGUAGAAAAGUGCAAAAUGGAAAAGUUGCAAAGCUGCAAGGUACCACAGAGAACCAGCAAUGUGUCUCAUAAAGAGGAUUUUUAUUUCCACUAGGUGGCUUAAAAAUACCAUGUGCUCGCCAGAGAAACCGUAGAGAGUAAGAGACGUUCAUUGAAUUACUGCCUGCCAUGAUUCGUGAUCUUUUCUAACAGAACUGUUUCCCUGAACUGUAAAGAUUCCUGCACAUUAGACACACACAGAGAGGGUAAGAGAUCGCAGAUAGAGAAAGUUUGGUGACAGGGUAGUUGGAAGAGAGCCUUGAGAUUAAAGGACAGAUUUAAAGUUGAGAUCCACUCCAUACUUACCAGUCUGAUGAAUGAAUUUCUUUUGCUGGCCCAUGCACCAAAAUGAUACAGCUCUGAGGAGUGGAGGUGAGAUACAGGACUAGCUGGAUUUCCUAGGCAGACUAAGAAUCCCUAAGCCUAGCUGGGAAGGUGACCGCUUCCACCUUUAAAUAUGGGGCUUGCAACUUAGCUCACACAUGACCAAUCAGAUAGUAAGGAGAGCUCACUAUAAUGCUAAUUAGGCAACAACAGGAGGUAAAGAAAUAGCCAAUCAUCUGUUGCCUGAGAGCAUAGCGGGAGGGACAGUGAUCAGGAUAUAAACCCAGGCAUUCAACCCGGCAACGGCAACCCCCUUUGGGUCCCCUUCCUUUGUAUGGGAGCUCUAUUUUCACUCUAUUAAAUCCUGCAGCUGCACUCUUCUGGUCCGUGUUUGUUACCGCUCGAGCUGAGCUUUCGCUCACCGUCCACCACUGCUGUUUGCCACCACUGCUGUUUGCCGCCAUUGCAGACCCACCGCUGACUUCCAUCCCUCUGGAUCCUGCAGGGUGUCCACUGUGCUCCUGACCCAGCGAGGCACCCAUUGCCACUUCCAAUCGGGCUAAAGGCUUGCCAUUGUUCCUAUACGGCUAAGUGCCUUGGUUCAUCCUAACCGAGCUGAACACUAGUCACUGGGUUCCACGGUUGUCUUCCAUGAUCCAUGGCUUCUAAUAGAGCUGUAACACUCACGGCAUGGCCCAAGAUUCCAUUCCUUGGAAUCCGUGAGGCCAAGAACCCCAGGUCAGAGAACACGAGACUUGCCGCCAUUUUGGAAGCAGCUCGCCACCAUCUUGGGAGCUCUGGAAGCAAGGACCCCCAGUAACAGAGGAACCUGUUGAUUCUUCGUCUCAUAUUGAAUUGGGAAAAAUGACACGGACACACAUGGAGUGGUUUUAAGGAGCAGAGAGUUUAAUAGGCAAGAAAGAAGGAAGAAGCUCCCCUUUACAGAGACAGAGGGAGGGGGGCUCCAAAGCCAAGAGAGGAGACCCACACGUGGGAUGGAAAAUAGCCAAAUAUACGUAGAGGCUGGAGUAGGCGGUGUCUGAUUUGCAUAGGGCUCAGGGGAUUGGUUUGACCAGGGAUGUCAUUCACAUAGACUGAAAAACUGGCCUUCCCACCCUAGCCUUUUAAUAUGCAAAUGCAGGACACGAAGAUGUUCUACACCUGGUGAGAUAUGUGGGGGCAGCCAUGUUGUCAGGCACAUGUCAGGGCUAGGGCAAAAGGAAAAUGGUGGAAAUCACCAUGUUGGGUGGACCCAGUUUCUAAUGGCUGGCAUUUGCAUAUUAAAGGUUGCUGGCCCAGCUCUAAGAGCCAGGGCCUUCCUGCUAGACAAGAAACAUUUCUGGAACUGCUUUAAAAGAAACAAAAACGUUCCAAGGACCCCUUUUCGUCUCUAUCUGCCUAAAAUAAUUUCUUAAUAACUCCUAUCACACUGCUUUUCAAAUAUAAAUGUAAGGUCAAAGGUCAGCAGAAUUGUUUAAUAAUACAAGUUAGGCAAUAUAGUAUUUUACUCAUAGUAUAUACAGUAUUUCCCAUUAUAACUGAUGUAAUCGAAGACAAACCUUUUGGCUGUCUUGCAAUUAAAAAGUCACAGGUGAGGUUGCAGUGAGCCUAGAUUGCACCACUGCACUCCAGCCCCAGGGCAAGACCCUGUCUCUAAAACAAAACAAAACAGAAGUCACAGGCAUUUCAUAUUUAUUAAUCAUAUUGCUCAGUGACCUACUCCAUUCUGGAAAAUAAAGAACCCAGGAUUUUUUUUUCUUGUGUUGAGAAAUUUUAAUUCUAAAAAAGGCCAAUUCCCAAGCAUUUAGUUUUAAGUCCUCUUUUAAAAGUUACUUCUUCAAAAUCCCAAGAAAUAAAAGAGAUUUGCUAAAGAUCCAGCUAAGCAAAAGUCCUGUCGAGUAUCUCUAUAUAUUCACUGGCUACUUGCCCUUCUUUCUUGGUGACCUACCUGUAUGUCCUUUGUCCAUUUUUGUGGGGUGGAGAAAAGUUUGGUCUUUAAGUACUCUCUAAAUAAUACAGCAAUUACCCUUUGUGGUAUAAGUUGCAUUUUUUUCUUGCAGUUUAUCAGUUGAUUUUUCUUAUGGUUUUUUUUCCUAUCUUGCAUGAUUUUAAAUUGAAAUUCAAGUUCAUGUCUAUCUCUCUCUUUAUAUCGUUCGUUGUCAAAGUAAAUGUAGCCGAAUUCACCUUUAAAGCAACUAUUAAACAGAAUUACACAGAAAUGAGCAGUAGUAUACAGAAAUAUUCUGAUGUUUUUUAGAGGUCGUUAGCAUAGCCCAUAAUAACAUAAAUUUUUGAUCUCUAAAGAUGUAGACUGGUUAAAGAACACAAGGUCACUUAUUUUAAAAAUGUCAGAACAUGUUUAUUAUUUUCAUAAAUAUUUUAAAAGUUGUGCUUUUAAAAGUUAGUAUAUUCUGAAUUCAUAAAAAGCUACUUACUUUUAUAAUAACAAUCAUUUCAAUUUUUAUUAUGUUUUUUGUAGAGAACAUAGCACAGAGAGCUUUUGAAAUAAAGCUUAGAAAAUAUCCAGAGCUGGCCGGGCACGGUGGCUCAUGCCUGUAAUCCCAGCACUUUGGGAGGCUGACGCGGGUGGAUCAUGAGGUCAGGAGAUUGAGAUCAUACUGGCUAACAUGGUGAAAUCCCGUCUCUACUAAAAAUGCAAAAAGUUAGCCGGGCAUGGUGGCGGGUGCCUGUAGUUCCAGCUACUCGGGAGGCUGAGGCAGGAGUAUCACCUGAACCUGGGAGGCGGAGGUUGCCGAGGUCAUGCCACUGCACUCCAGCCUGGGUGACAGAGCAAGAAUCUGUCUCAGAAAGAAAGAAAGAAAAUAUCCAAAGCUUAUAUUCCAAAUAUUUCUCUUGAGUAGUCUUAACCACUCUUUCCAUAAUCAUUUAAUGCCUUUUUAGUAAAUUAACUUUUCUCCCUACAGAAAGUAAAAACUGAUAUAGCAUAUAUUUCACUCCAAACUGUGUAAAAGACUAGGGUUCUGCUCUAUAAAAUAAAAGGAAACUAAGGGGGGAAAAGUAUGUAUGUGAAAAAACACAUAUGUGAAAGAAGAUAGGCAGAAAAUGAAUCAAAAUAUUAGGAGUGGUUAUCAGUAGGUAGCAUAAUUAUAAGUGACUUAUUUUUCAUAACUUUCUGCAUUUCCAAGCUCUCCUUACUGAGCCCAUUCCAUAUUACAAA